rnacentral:rRNA from 1 species
UACGAAGGGGGCUAGCGUUGUUCGGAAUCACUGGGCGUAAAGGGUGCGUAGGCGGCGGAGUAAGUUGGGUGUGAAAUCCCGGGGCUUAACCUCGGAAUGGCAUUCAAUACUGCUUCGCUUGAGUACUGGAGAGGAGGCUGGAAUUUACGGUGUAGCAGUGAAAUGCGUAGAUAUCGUAAGGAAGGCCGGUGGCGAAAGCGAGCCUCUGGACAGUUACUGACGCUGAUGCACGAAGGCCAGGGGAGCAAACGGG